UACGUAGGCAGCAAGCGUUGUUCGGAAUUACUGGGCGUAAAGAGUGUGUAGGCGGUGCUCCAAGUCUGGUGUGAAAUCUCCCGGCUCAACUGGGAGGGUGCGCUAGAAACUGGAAUGCUAGAGGAUGGGAGAGGUAAGCGGAAUUCCUGGUGUAGCGGCGAAAUGCGUAGAUAUCAGGAGGAACACCUGUGGUGUAGACAGCUUGCUGGACCAUUUCUGACGCUGAGACACGAAAGCGUGGGUAGCAAACAGG
rnacentral:rRNA from 1 species